rnacentral:misc_RNA from 1 species
UUUGGUUUCUAAUAAGAAACCAAGACAACAAGAAAAAUUAGAUGGAUGAUUUAUUGGAUUACUUUUUUUGUUCUGUUUAGUUUUCAGGGAUUGUUUUCUCUGAGCAAUUGUUCUUUAAAAACUAGAUAAUAGACAUCUUUUAAAAAAAAUAAGAUAAUUUUUAUCUUGCAAUAGGAUAUUCUAAAA